GCCGCGGUAAUUUGACCGUGCGAAGGUAGCAUAAUCAUUAGCCAUUUAAUUAGUGGAUGGAAUGAAGGGUUGGAUGAAGGGUAAGCUGUCUUUUUACUAUAAUUCAAAUUUUACUUUUAAGUGAAAAGGCUUUAAUAAUAUAAAGUGAAGAUAAGACCCUAUAAAACUUUAUAAGAUUUUUGCUAUAUUUGUUGUAUUUUGUAAAAAACAAUAUAAUUAAAUGUUAUUUUGUUGGGGCGACAGGAAUAAAAUUUUAAGUAUCUGUUCUUUUUAAUGUGUUAGUAAUUACUAAUUUAUGGUCCUUUGAUAGAGAUUAAAAGAUUAAGUUACUUUAGGGAUAACAGCGUGAUUUUCUUUGAGAGUUCCUAUCGACAAGAGUAGUUGCGACCUCGAUGUUGAAUUAAAAUUAUUCUGACAAGUGCAGUAGCUUGUUUAGUAAGUCUGUUCGACUUUUAAAAUU
rnacentral:rRNA from 1 species